GACGAACGCUGGCGGCGUGCUUAACACAUGCAAGUCGAACGGUGAAGGGGAGCUUGCUCCCUGGAUCAGUGGCGAACGGGUGAGUAACACGUGGGCAACCUGCCCCAGACUCUGGGAUAACUUCUCGAAAGAGACGCUAAUACCGGAUACGAGGCCCCCAGGCAUCUGGGGGUUUGGAAAGUUUUUCGGUCUGGGAUGGGCCCGCGGCCUAUCAGCUUGUUGGUGAGGUAACGGCUCACCAAGGCGACGACGGGUAGCCGGCCUGAGAGGGCGACCGGCCACACUGGGACUGAGACACGGCCCAGACUCCUACGGGAGGCAGCAGUGGGGAAUAUUGCGCAAUGGGCGAAAGCCUGACGCAGCAACGCCGCGUGAGGGAUGACGGCCUUCGGGUUGUAAACCUCUUUCAGCAGGGAAGAAGCGAAAGUGACGGUACCUGCAGAAGAAGCACCGGCUAACUACGUGCCAGCCGCCGCGGUAAAAC
rnacentral:rRNA from 1 species